rnacentral:rRNA from 1 species
CUACACAUGCAGUCGAGCGGAAACGAGUUAACUGAACCUUCGGGGAACGUUAACGGCGUCGAGCNNCGGACGGGUGAGUAAUGCCUGGGAAAUUGCCCUGAUGUGGGGGAUAACCAUUGGAAACGAUGGCUAAUACCGCAUAAUAGCUUCGGCUCAAAGAGGGGGACCUUCGGGCCUCUCGCGUCAGGAUAUGCCCAGGUGGGAUUAGCUAGUUGGUGAGGUAAGGGCUCACCAAGGCGACGAUCCCUAGCUGGUCUGAGAGGAUGAUCAGCCACACUGGAACUGAGACACGGUCCAGACUCCUACGGGAGGCAGCAGUGGGGAAUAUUGCACAAUGGGCGCAAGUCUGAGGCAGCCAUGCCGCGUGUAUCAGGAAGGCUUUCGGGUUGUAA